AUUGAACGCUGGCGGUAGGCCUAACACAUGCAAGUCGAACGAGUGGCGGACGGGUGAGUAAUACCUCGGAAUCUACUCUGUCGAGGGGGAUAACGUAGGGAAACUUACGCUAAUACCGCAUAAGAUUGAAUGUGCCGAUGUGGGAUUAGCUAGUUGGCGGGGUAAAGGCCCCCCAAGGCGACGAUCCGUAGCUGGUCUGAGAGGAUGAUCAGCCACACUGGAACUGAGACACGGUCCAGACUCCUACGGGAGGCAGCAGUGGGGAAUAUUGGACAAUGGGCGCAAUCCUGAUGCAGCCAUACCGCGUGGGUGAAGAAGGCCUUCGGGUUGUAAAGCCCUUUUGUUGGGAAAGCGGUACCCAAAGAAUAAGCACCGGCUAACUUCGUGCCAGCCGCCGCGGUAAUUC
rnacentral:rRNA from 1 species